ensembl:lncRNA
UGUUUCAUAUCAUCAGUCUGUUCUGUUGUUUCAUAUCAUCAGUCUGUUUUCUGUUCUAGACCAGUCUCAGCAUCUGUUUUCUGUUGUUUCAUAUCAUCAGUCUGUUUUCUGUUCUAGACCAGUCCCAGGAAGAGAGAUCCAACUCUGUUGCCGUGGCAGGAGCAGUGAUGGGGGCAGUCCUUGCCCUUUUCCUCAUAGCCGUCUUCACCAUCGUCAUCCUCACAGCACGGAAGACCUCUCCCCCAGCGUACACAGACAAAGUGCUCGCAGGGCUGAGCGGCGCUUUGAGAUGGCCGAGAAAACCCCCGCCAGGCUCAUGCACCGGGAACCCCAAAGCCCCUCCCACCAGCCUCUGUCCUAUCAGGAGUGGGUCUGUCACCAAAAUGGGGCGGAUCGCGUCUACAUCAACCACCGGGAACACUAUGUUUAAAGGGGCAUAUUCUGAUCCUUGGACCUGUUAAUCAAUGACUUACACCACCCCAAACCAACCCCACAGAGGCUCAGGGUGGACAGCCUUUUCAGACACAGCUCAUGAUUUGACCAAGCCUUCCUAAAUGAGAGUCUACUCCACGUUUAAACUCCUUUGAGAGCAGCAGUUACCGCCUGCAAGAAGCAAGACUAAUGAGGCUGAAGCAUAAACUGCUAAGUGUCUCUGAGGAACAACCAACCCAGACACCUCCUCCACUCUCCUCCCCUGAACCACCACACACUUGUUCUGUUCCCAACCACAUCAAGGAACAGGAUAACAGCAGAGGAGGAGGAAGACACAUUGGGACAGUACCACACAAGAAGUUAAAACAGCACACUAAGCUCUUGUGUAGUGUACUGAAAUUGAAUAAUAUGAAAACACUGUGCUCUAUCAUGGAUAGAAGAGAUGUGUAUAACUAUGUCACAGUUGCUAUGGUGAUAUUAUAGUGAUGGCAUAAUCCUGUGUACUGUUAUGCUCUUUAAAUUAGAAUUAGAAAGAAAUUAUUUAAAUACCAGACAUAUCUCUGGCUCUGGUAAACAAGCAGUGUUACCACAGCAUUUACAGUGUAAUAUCAAGCAUUACAUUAAUUAUAGUAGAUAGUAA